CUACACAUGCAGUCGAGCGGUACAGAGAGAGCUGCUUCUUUGCUGACGAGCGGCGGACGGGUGAGUAACGCGUAGGAAUCUACCGAAUUAGUGGCGGGAUAGCCCAGGGAAACUUGGAUUAAUACCGCAUACGCCCUACGGGGGAAAGCGGGGGAUCUUCGGACCUCGCGCUAAUCGAUGAGCCUGCGUAAGAUUAGCUAGUUGGUGAGGUAAGAGCUCACCAAGGCGACGAUCUUUAGCUGGUCUGAGAGGAUGAUCAGCACACUGGGACUGAGACACGCCAGACUCCUACGGGAGGCAGCAGGGGGAAUAUGGACAAUGGGGGCAACCCUGAUCCAGCCAUGCCGCGUGUGUGAGAAGGCCUUCGGGUGUAAAGCACUUUCAGAUGUGAGGAAAGGUGUGUGCUUAUACGUCAUCUGUGAGUAGCAUCAGAAGAAGGCCGGCUACUCCGUGCCAGCAGCCGCGGUAAUACGGAGGGUCCGAGCGUUAAUCGGAAUUACUGGGCGUAAAGCGCGCGUAGGUGGUUUUGUCAGUCAGAUGUGAAGCCCAGGGUCAACCUG
rnacentral:rRNA from 1 species